rnacentral:rRNA from 1 species
AACGAACGCUGGCGGCAUGCCUAACACAUGCAAGUCGAACGAGACCUUCGGGUCUAGUGGCGCACGGGUGCGUAACGCGUGGGAACCUGCCCUUAGGUUCGGAAUAACUCCCCGAAAGGGGUGCUAAUACCGGAUAAUGUCUUCGGACCAAAGAUUUAUCGCCUUUGGAUGGGCCCGCGUUGGAUUAGCUAGUUGGUAGGGUAAAAGCCUACCAAGGCGGCGAUCCAUAGCUGGUCUGAGAGGAUGAUCAGCCACACUGGGACUGAGACACGGCCCAGAAUCCUACGGGAGGCAGCAGUGGGGAAUAUUGGAAAAUGGGCGAAAGCCUGAUCCAGCAAUGCCGCGUGAGUGAUGAAGGCCUUAGGGUUGUAAAGCUCUUUUACCCGGGAUGAUAAUGACAGUACCGGGAGAAUAAGCUCCGGCUAACUCCGUG